rnacentral:rRNA from 1 species
GGGCCCGCACAAGCGGUGGAGCAUGUGGCUUAAUUCGAGGCAACGCGAAGAACCUUACCUGGGCUUGAAAUAUAGUUGACAGUCCGUGAAAGCGGAUCUCCCUUCGGGGCAAUUAUACAGGUGCUGCAUGGCUGUCGUCAGCUCGUGCUGUGAAGUGUUCGGUUAAGUCCGGCAACGAGCGCAACCCGUAUCUUCAGUUGCCAUCACGUAAUGGUGGGGACUCUGAAGAGACUGCCUGUGUUAAGCAGGAGGAAGGCGCGGAUGACGUCAAGUCAGUAUGGCCCUUACGUCCAGGGCUGCACACGUGCUACAAUGGGGGGUACAAUGGGACGCAAUGCCGCGAGGCGGAGCAAAUCCACAAAACCUCCCUUAGUUCGGAUUGUAGUCUGCAACUCGACUACAUGAAGUCGGAAUCGCUAGUAAAGGCGUAUCAGCUACGACGCCUUGAAUACGUUCCCGGGCCUU